UCAGAGAUGAGCUUGUGCCUUCGGGAACUUAGAGACAGGUGCUGCAUGGCUGUCGUCAGCUCGUGUUGUGAAAUGUUGGGUUAAGUCCCGCAACGAGCGCAACCCUUAUCCUUUGUUGCCAGCGACUUGGUCGGGAACUCAAAGGAGACUGCCAGUGAUAAACUGGAGGAAGGUGGGGAUGACGUCAAGUCAUCAUGGCCCUUACGAGUAGGGCUACACACGUGCUACAAUGGCGUAUACAGAGGGAAGCGAAGC
rnacentral:rRNA from 1 species